rnacentral:rRNA from 1 species
AACGAACGCUGGCGGCAGGCUUAACACAUGCAAGUCGAACGCCCCGCAAGGGGAGUGGCAGACGGGUGAGUAACACGUGGGAACAUGCCCAAAGGUACGGAAUAUUCUCGGGAAACUGGGAGCAAUACCGUAUGUGCCCGAAAGGGGAAAGAUUUAUCGCCUUUGGAUUGGCCCGCGUCAGAUUAGGUAGUUGGUGGGGUAAUGGCCUACCAAGCCGACGAUCUGUAGCUGGUCUGAGAGGACGACCAGCCACACUGGGACUGAGACACGGCCCAGACUCCUACGGGAGGCAGCAGUGGGGAAUCUUGGACAAUGGGCGCAAGCCUGAUCCAGCCAUGCCGCGUGGAUGGUGAAGGCCCUAGGGUUGUAAAAUCCUUUCGUUGGGGACGAUAAUGACGGUACCCAAAGAAGAAGCUCCGGCUAACUUCGUGCCAGCCGCCGCAGUAAAAC